UACGGGGGGGGCAAGCGUUGUUCGGAAUUACUGGGCGUAAAGGGCUCGUAGGCGGCCAACUAAGUCAGACGUGAAAUCCCUCGGCUUAACCGGGGAACUGCAUCUGAUACUGGAUGGCUUGAGUUCGGGAGAGGGAUGCGGAAUUCCAGGUGUAGCGGUGAAAUGCGUAGAUAAUCUGGAGGAACACCGGUGGCGAAGGCGGCAUCCUGGACCGAUAUUGACGCUGAGGAGCGAAAGCCAGGGGAGCAAACGGG
rnacentral:rRNA from 1 species